AGUGGAGAAAGAAAGUAAAAUUUUUGUCCAUCAACUUUGAUCCAAAAAUCAUAAAUUUCUAGUAUUCCUACUAAGCUCAAGACCCUCUUUACCGGGAUAUAAAUUUCGAGGCAAGAAAGUACUUUUUUUAUCAAGUGGAAAAAUUGGAAAAAAGAUAUUGGAGAACCCGAGACUUGAGUCAGGAUUUUUCUAGCGAGCGAUCGGGAUUUGUUAGCGAGCGAUUGAGAUUUUGGACGAAAUUGAAGUCGACGUCAAGCGAGCGUAAGGCGCUAUCGAGGUACAGACGCACCAGGUGAUACGCCGCCAGCGUAGGUUUCUGACUCUGCUGUUCGAAGAGCUCCUUUGAUCCGGAGCGUACACUUUUGGUAUAUAUCUUCUGUUUUCCGUAUGUUCUGUAUGUAUGGAAAUUCUGGGUACGGCGGGGCCCUGUCCCGUCAUCUGAUUCUGUAUGUCUGUAGAGGCCUGUAGAUAGAUGUGUGGGUUACGAGUUUCGUCUGUAUGUUAGCCUUAUCGGCUUAUCUGUAAAUGUCUGCAUGUUCAGGUAUAUAUAUAUGUUUGCGCGCGUGCCGUAUCUGUAUCGGCCUACUUCUGUAAUAUCCGUUUGAAAAAAAAAAUCUGUUCGAUACGAAAUUCGGUCAGGUAGGUAUGUACGGGUACCCAGCUAGGGUACCAGUCGCGGCCCACGGGGUUGGGUUGUGACAUAAGCGGUCCCCGUUGCUGUUAUGGCCAAAACGGCCCAUAUGUUUGUAUAUGUUUGUAGGUCUGGGCGAUGUGUAUUCCGCCAGCCUACCAGAUUUGAUAUGAUAUUUCUGUACGAGCAACCGCUUAAGUUGUUCUUAAUAUCUGUUUGAAAUAACGUACGUUAAGUCGGGAUAAAUCUUUGAUAUGUCGAUCUGGUAUGUAAGUCAGUUUGGGUGUCCAAAUAGGGCACCAGUCGCGGCCCACGGGGCUGGAUCGUGACAAAUGUGACACCUCUCUAUGGCCUAGAAAACUAUUUAUCUUUUUUCUCCUUUUUUUGAGAUUUUUUAGUCUCUAAAUGUAUUUUUAAAUCUUUUCUCUUUCUCCUCCAAUUAAUGUAUACUAAAUGUUAGUAAAAAGCAAAAAACUCAUCCUCUGCCCACGUCUGAGAUUCAUAACUCCUAAGUUUCUUUGAUUUUUUUUUUUUGGUUAUUUAAAGAGUUGAUCACCUUUCUGUCAUGUCCAAAAAUUGUCUCAA